UCCCGAGAUCGCGACCUAGACCUAAAAGAAGAAAUUGAUAUUUCUAAGUUAGUGAUCUUGCACUACAGUAACAAAAACAAUAUCAGGCACUGUUAAACAAAUCGCCUAUGAAUGUUUUGAAGAAAAAAAAUGUCAAAGAUUUCCUGCUUAAAUUAAUUUCUUAAAAAUUACAAGUAAAAAAGAAAAAACAAAUUAAUUCAAAAAAAUGUUCAAUGUAUAAAUAUACAAAUAUAACCUUACAAAUUAUACCCUGAGUUCCUCUUCAAAAAGGUGAACUACAACACACACACACACAGCAGCGCCUUCAUCAGCGCACACAGCGCUAAAACACACAUAGGCCAUGUGGCCAACUCUUCCACCAUAGAAGAUCAAAUCAAAAUCACAUUUGCCAAUCACUAUUCACAGUGGUCAGCCUCUCACUAGGCUCCAUGACCUGGUCAACCAAACGUCUUGUGAUCAACCCCAUAACCAUGACACUGGACUUAAUACACUAUGACCAUCAUCAUCAUCAAUUCAACCCUCACACAGUGAAGAAAAUAUCAAGACCACCCAAUUCCUGCAAACACAGCCUGCACAAAAAUAAGAGCAACCAGGAAAAGAUAUUUAUCUAAACUUAAGUUUGGUGUUAUCCAUAAGUAAACAAUUAACUAUCCACCUGGUGGGUGGCAAUUUUAAGACUAUAUUAAUACAAUCUAAGGCUACAACAUGAGUAAAUUAUGGAAUGUUUUAACAUUAUUUAAAUGAUUCCAAUAGGGGAUUUUUUUUAAAGGCAGAAUUUUAAAUAAUGAGUACAUUACCCCUAUAUGGUUUAAUUUAAAAUGUUCAAUCAAGCUGACAUAUGCUAACAUAUUAUGAUAUAGAACAAUACUAAUCUGACAAAUAUUUUCUGAUAAAUAACAUUAUUAAGAAACAACUUGUAUACAAAAACACCUACAUAUUAAAUAUGAGUAAAAUUUUACAUAGGUAUUAUUACCUUAUUAUUAAAAUUGUAUGCCAUAAUAAAUUUCCUAUUUAAACAACCUACCUAUUUCUUCGACGGUUGUUGGA